rnacentral:RNase_P_RNA from 2 species
CAUACAAACUGGUCUGUCGCGCUGAAAAGUGAGGAAAGUCCGGGCAACAUAGAGCAUCCUGCUUCCUAACAGGAAGGUCUCGCAAAACGGGAACAGAAAGUGCCACAGAGAAUAUACCGCCCCGGCUCUGCUGGGGUAAGGGUGAAAACGUGAGGUAAGAGCUCACGGCUUUGUCGGGCGACCGGCAUCGCGGUAAACCUCAGGAGUUGAAAGACCAAAUAAACCGGAGCUUGAGGGCUGCUCGCUCAAUUCCGGAGGGUAGGUUGCUAGAGAUGAAUGGUGACAUUCAUUCGAGAUAAAUGACAGAUAUCAAUCUGACUUGAUCGGAUUGAGAAACAGAACCCGGCUUAUACGUUUGUAUUUUUU